rnacentral:tRNA from 1 species
GUUGGGGAUAUAGCUCAGUUGGUAGAGUGCUUGCUUUGCAUGAAUGCAUAAGGCCCUGGGUUCAAUCCCCAGCAACA